rnacentral:rRNA from 1 species
UACGAAGGGGGCGAGCGUUGUUCGGAAUUACUGGGCGUAAAGGGCGUGUAGGCGGCUCCUUUUGUCGCGUGUGAAAGCCCCGGGCUCAACCUGGGAAUUGCGCGCGAAACGGGGGGGGCUUGAGUUCGGGAGAGGAGCGUGGAAUUCCCAGUGUGAGAGGUGAAAAUUCGUAGAUAUUCGGAGGAACACCAGUGGCGAAGGCGGCUCACUGGUCCAUUACCGACG